rnacentral:rRNA from 1 species
AACGUAGGGGACAAGCGUUAUCCGGAUUUACUGGGCGUAAAGCGCCCGUAGGCGGCCUGACAAGUUGGACGUGAAAGCUCCUGGCUUAACUAGGAGAGGCCGUUCAAAACUGUCAAGCUAGAGUCUGGAAGAGGAGAGCGGAAUUCCCGGUGUAGUGGUGGAAUGCGUAGAGAUCGGGAGGAACACCAGUGGCGAAAGCGGCUCUCUGGUCCAAAACUGACGCUGAGGGGCGAAAGCGUGGGGAGCGAACGGG